rnacentral:lncRNA from 1 species
UUUGGUAGAAGCUGUGAUUGAUGUUCCAGUGAAAUAUGUGGAUGGAAAUGCCCAGGAGACAGCUAGAGAUGCCUGGCUAGACCCAAGAGAGUUUGAGCCUGGGAUACAUAUUUCGGAGUCCUUCCCAUAAAGCUAAUAGCUAAAGUCGAUAUGGAAGAGAAGACAGUGAAGAGCAGAGCCUUAGGCAACACCCACAUUCUGGAGAUUUAUUUUAUCAUGUUACCUAGAAUGUUCCUCCAUCUCCUAUUAAGCACCCCUCUCUCAAACUGAAGUUGCAGCUUAAGAAUUACUUGCCUCUUUCCCCACAUUUAUAAUCCCUGCCCCCUGUUGCAGAUGCAGAACAGCAACCCAAGUCCCUUCUGGAAGCAGCCCUCUCCCUCCUGGCAGCUGACAGAAGUCUCUCUGGCCAGGCCGGCCUUUUGGCUGCUCUGCAUAUGGAAGUUCAAUUACUGUCAAUGGGAGGCCCAUCGGCAGGGUGAGGGCAGAAUACACAAUGGAGAUCGGUGUACCAGAUAGGCGCCUAGAUCAAAGAAGAACCCAGAGUUUGUGAAGUCCUUUCAUCCUCCCUGAUGAAAGGGAGAAGCUUACUGCUGUUUUCAUGGCUCUGCAUGCCCGGGGAAAGAGGAAGGCCACAGGAAGGUGACAGCUGAGGCAGGUCUGGCUCCUGGAGGAUGGGACACACAACGUGGGAACCGGCAAGUCACCAGAGUCAUCUCAGCCAAGAUCAACCAAUAGUCAAUUACCAGGAACGUGAGAGAAUUCUGAGACCAGGACUGCUCAGCCACCUCUGCCUAAAAUACCAACACACAGAACAGUAAAGUGAAUGGAUGUUUAUUAUCCUAAGCCACUAUAUUUUGAGAUUGUACCUCAUGCAGCACUAUUAUGACCAUAGGUGACUGAUAUAAAAAGUAAGGAAUUAUGAAUCAUAAGAAAAAGAUGAACCAAGGAAAGAAUCAGCUUUGAAGAGGUGGUAAACUAUGGGAGUUGGGUAUGCUUUUCUGCAAUGAUCUUGUCUUAUUUUCUUUUUUUUUAAAGGAAGGCCUACCUGAAUAAUUCUGUGCAGGAAGAUAAAAGCAAGAUUAGAGUGAGACCUAUUCAGGGAGGUGUCAUUUUGUGAGCAGUUCAUGACCAUACCCAAUAAUCAGGGUCUGUCUACAUAUCUGAAUUUUAAUCCUUACAUAUAUGGCCUUAGAUGAACUAAAAUAAUUAUAAGAAGUUGUGUCAUUGUAGACUUCUAUUAAUAAACAUAUACCUACAUAUAUACAUGUUUAUGCACAAGAAUCAGCCUGUAUAGGCAUAUUUACCUAGGCAUAUUCAUUGCAUAGUGCUCUCAUGGUUGUGACUUGGGUGGGUGUAGCAAAGUGACAGGCCAGGAUCUCACCACAUAGGAAGAACUUUGGUCUGGCCAAGACAGGGCCAGCUAGUGGCCUCCCUGCCAUUAGCUCUGUCUGCCACCCAAGACAGAAGAAGCCAACAGUCCAAAGGGACAUAGCAGCUUCAUUUUGGUUCUAGUUAGUGGUGCCAUAGAAGAGGAACAGGCAGAUAGGAUCUCAUCUAGGCCAUGAGACAAGCAAGAGUUCUCAAGAAGGGUAGACUCUUAGAAACAGGAGGCCAGUGAGACAUGGAUCUAAGAGGCAUAGCCAGGUAGAAGCAGCCCUAGUCAAUGGCUAGAAGUAUAAUAUCCCAAUAAAAGAGGCAUUCUUAGAAAGCUGGGCAGCAUCUCAGGACCACACAUGAUUGGGGAAAAGGGGUUGGUGAGGGGCAG